GGAGGGAUGCCGGAGCGGUCGAACGGGGCGGUCUCGAAAACCGUUGUGGGUGCAAGCCCACCGAGGGUUCGAAUCCCUCUCCCUCCGCCA
rnacentral:tRNA from 1 species